CUUGAACAAUAAAUGAAUCAGAGUGCUGUUUGGGGAAUUAAUUAGAAGCAGGUGAAUACGUGGCAUGAUGCUUUGCAAUUUCUUUUCAUUUUCAUUUAAUUGAUUGAUGGGUUGCUUGAACAAUGGCUGAAUGAGAGUGGUAUUGGGUGAGCUAAUAGGAGACAGGAAAUAUAUCACAUAAUGGUAUUUUGGGUUCUGUUGAAUAAUAGCUGAAUGGGAGUACCUUUACCUUGGGUGACUAAAUUGGAAGCAGGGAGGAAAAUCUUGGUAGAAUUGAUCUAAAUUGUACCCAAGGAUUUUCAAACGGAGAGAGAGGAUAUAUAUAUAUGUUGGUGAAAACAAAAAAAUGCGUACAGGUAAUGAUGGAAAGGAGAGAGGGAACAACCGGUAGUGUAUUAAACAGAGAUUUUGGUAGAAGAGAAAACUGAUAUGGGUAGAGAAGUUAGAGACAAAAAAGAAUGGUAGAGGCAGGCUGACGACUGUAGGGAUUGUAGUCUUGAGUAGGAGCUGAUGAAAAAUGUUGGUUAGUGGUCAAUUGGGAAAAGAAAUAUCCUGGAUUUGAGGAGACCAUAGGGGCCACUACGAAAACAAGGAUAAUUAAAACAGAGGGUAUGAAUGAAUACAAGAAACUAAGGUAGUAAUGGAUAGCUUGAUGGGAAGUGUUGUGGGUAGAUGGGGCUAUCUGAGUGAAAUAGAAAGGGUGAAGUAGUGGAAAUGAGAGCAAGCUGUAAAGAGAUGAGCAUAGGCGGGUAUGAGGGAAAAUUUGGAGAUGUGGCCUAUUUAUUUCAAUUUGCAUGGUUUUAAAUUUAAAUUUGCUUUACUGGACUCGUGCAAUUCAUUAUUGUUUUAUUUCAGAUCUGGUGAAGUAGGAACAAGAACAAGACCAAGAUGUGCAAGGAAAAGAAUCCAAUUCCUAGGAGCACCCAAAUGAAAAUAGUUGGAUGACCAAACUUGAAUGUGGAACAUUGUAAAGGAAUGGCAUACGCAUAUAUAUGUGCAACGAACAGCUAAUCAUAUGUACAUGAAUACUUAUUGUGAGUUGGGAUUUUCUCGUCUAGUACUUUAGAAAGGAUAUUGUAUGUGUUGUGUUAGAACUAGAAUGGGCGAAGUAUGACGCUCUACCCCUUCAAGGGAUGUAGUUCACUGUAUUUGUCAAUAUUUUCCUGAUUGCUUUGUUGUGAAAAA